GCGUGCUAAUCUGCGAUAAGCGCCGGUAAGGUGAUAUGAACCGUUAUAACCGGCGAUACCCGAAUGGGGAAACCCAGUGUGAUUCGUCACACUAUCAUUAACUGAAUCCAUAGGUUAAUGAGGCGAACCGGGGGAACUGAAACAUCUAAGUACCCCGAGGAAAAGAAAUCAACCGAGAUUCCCCCAGUAGCGGCGAGCGAACGGGGAGGAGCCCAGAGCCUGAAUCAGCAUGUGUGUUAGUGGAAGCGUCUGGAAAGGCGCGCGAUACAGGGUGACAGCCCCGUACACAAAAGCGCAUAUGCUGUGAGCUCGAUGAGUAGGGCGGGACACGUGGUAUCCUGUCUGAAUAUGGGGGGACCAUCCUCCAAGGCUAAAUACUCCUGACUGACCGAUAGUGAACCAGUACCGUGAGGGAAAGGCGAAAAGAACCCCGGCGAGGGGAGUGAAAAAGAACCUGAAACCGUGUACGUACAAGCAGUGGGAGCCCCACCACUAAGCCNGAACUUUCCAGAGAUGGAUUGGUGCCUUCGGGAACUGUGAGACAGGUGCUGCAUGGCUGUCGUCAGCUCGUGUUGUGAAAUGUUGGGUUAAGUCCCGCAACGAGCGCAACCCUUAUCCUUUGUUGCCAGCGGUCCGGCCGGGAACUCAAAGGAGACUGCCAGUGAUAAACUGGAGGAAGGUGGGGAUGACGUCAAGUCAUCAUGGCCCUUACGACCAGGGCUACACACGUGCUACAAUGGCGCAUACAAAGAGAAGCGACCUCGCGAGAGCAAGCGGACCUCAUAAAGUGCGUCGUAGUCCGGAUUGGAGUCUGCAACUCGACUCCAUGAAGUCGGAAUCGCUAGUAAUCGUGGAUCAGAAUGCCACGGUGAAUACGUUCCCGGGCCUUGUACACACCGCCCGUCACACCAUGGGAGUGGGUUGCAAAAGAAGUAGGUAGCUUAACCUUCGGGAGGGCGCUUACCACUUUGUGAUUCAUGACUGGGGUGAAGUCGUAACAAGGUAACCGUAGGGGAACCUGCGGUUG
rnacentral:rRNA from 1 species